rnacentral:lncRNA from 1 species
UGAGUUCCUCAGCAUCAAUCAAAGGUGCUGGAGGAGGAUCAUGGUAGUCCUUUGCUGAGAAGGAACCACCCUCAACAUCAUGCUUAGCCAUUGCAAUUUGCAACUACCCUUUUGACACUGAUCAAGUAAUGAACCUGAAAGAAAGAAGGGUUUUUUGAUGAGUGUGUUAAUUAGUGUGAGAGGAGAAGGGGUAUAUAUGGGGGUGAUGGAGUGUGGUUAGUGCAUUUGAUUAUUGUAAUAAUGCAAUUUGACACUGGAAAACAAAGCCAUAUAUUAAUAGCAAUAAACUUUUUGGUUUGAGUCUCGCUUUCACCGACCUUGACCUCACUUUUACUACACCACCACCUCCCUACCACUCCCUUAAAUACAUUUGUAUCUUUGUUUGUUUUGUCAUUUUGUUCUAUCUAGAAAGAAUGAAUCUAUCUUACUUGGCUUGGUUUUUGUCUACUUCCCUUAGUUUCAAGGGAUCAGUUUUCUUCUUCACUUCUAAGUUUACCAAGUUAGACAUUAAUUUUUUUACUUCAAGUUUCUAUUUUAUUUUAUUUGUGAGACAGAACAAAUCGUUUUUUUCUUCAGUACCAAAAAAAAUUCUAAUUACAGUAAAAAAGAACUAAAUCAUUGUCUAAUUACAAUAAUCAUUGUCUAACUAACGAAAUAAUCGGAUUAAAGAACAAGAAAUGUUGAGUUGGAUGAUUCGAUUCAUUAUUCAUAGUGUGAUUAUUUAUUUUAUAUAGGGAAAAUAUAUCUGCUCAUUAUUUUUGUAUAUUAGAACAUGAUAGAGAAGAGAGAAAAGUAUUAGAUAAGAUCAUUUCUUUUUUACUCGAUGGAAGAAAACUAGAUAAGAUAAAUUAUAUCAUGUAGUACAAAAAUAGAAUUUUUUUAUAUAAAAAAGUAUUGUAAAAAUUUGUUGUAAGAAUAAUAUAUCUCUUUUAUUUAUAAGUUAUCCGUUAUUUUGGUAAGUUAUCUCAAAUCUUGAGCUUACAUUAAAAUGAUAUUUGCUUUUCUAAUUUUUAAAAAUAGAAAACUAGUGAAAUGGACAUUCCAAAUAGAUACAAUUAUUUAAUAUUUUAUUCAUAAUAUAAUUUAUAGAUUAUUUAUAUUUAUAUAUUUCAAUUUAUGUUUGAAUAUAAAAAAUGUUCUAAUUGAAUUGAUUGAAUAAGGUGUAUGAAUACUAUAAAUUUUUUGUUAUUGUUUUAAUUUUUAUGGAUAAAAAAAUUAACUUGAAGAGAUAUAUGAUAAUUAAAAGAGUCAUCCUUUAAAUUUAAUUUAAAGUUCUCUAUGAGUCAAUUUGGGGUAGAAAUCAUCACAGACGUGGGAAAGCAAGCUGCUUUAGAAAAAACAAAGUGAUAUGCUGUGCUCUACAGUACACAGUUGCGUAGAAACCGUUUGAAAAGUUUCAAGACAUUAGCGGUUUUUUUUCCCGGUCCAAGGGAAAUUGAAUUUUAACGUGACUUUUUUUUAAGGUAUAUAAGCAAAAUUCUCGUUAAAGUGGAUCUUAAUACACUUAAGUCUUAAGUAGGACUUUUCACAAGACCCUUUAAAGUGAGUCAGUUUUAAUUAAUUUUGAAGCUCUAUAAUUUGAACUAAAUAAUUAAGAGUGUUUGAUUGCAUAUUUUGGACGUGUUCAAAGAUAUUUUUCACGUCAAAAUAUGUAUAAAAAAUAAUAAUAUGAAGUUAUAAUUUAUUGCUUCCGCUUAACUUGGAUUAAACAGUGUUAAACGUUAAACUAAACAUGUUUUACAAGACUAAGGACAGGUUAAAUCAGUUAAGUAGUUGAAUUUAUAAGAAAACAAAAAAAUGGCAAAAUGUGUGUAUAUGUGAUAAAACACUUUAAUAGUUUAUAAGCUAGUUGGACUAUAUAUUAUAUGCAUAUAUUUCCUAAAAUUUAUACUUACAAAAUGAGUUAUAUCAAGUGAUAACAAAUCUCAUUUUAAGAAUGUAAAAUUUUUAAAUCUUAGUUAUACUUCUAUGAAAGUUAAGAUUAAAAAUUAUUUGGUAGUCGUAUAAUCACUUUAAAAAGUCAUAUACAUUUUUUCUUUUAAUUUUGACUUCAAAUAAGAUGUAAUUGUUUAUAAUUAUAGUUUUCAUUUUUCACAAUAAAAAACACUCAUUUAAUAUGCUUACUUUAUUUCUCUAUAUAUUAAAUAUAUGCUUCCUACUACCUACGUAUACAUACUUGAUUUGGAUUAUAAGAUAACAAAUUUGAUGUCUAAUUCACAUUUGAAAUGACAAAUUAAGAAGCUGGUUAAAUUUUAAUUUUAUUAUUUUUGUAAUUUUAAAUUCAUUAUUUUGGUUUUUUUAUUUUUAAAUCAAGACAUUUAAUUAUCUUAUGAUAUUUAUGUGAAAAAAGAAUAAAUAAACUAAAAAAAUAAAAUAUUUAUUAAUAGAAAUUAAACUCAUAAUACUUUAUUCAUAAAUAAAAUAAUAAAUUAUUAAGAUAUUUUUUUUGUUUAAUUAACUAUAUUAGCAUUAUUUUUUAUGUAACAUUACUCAAGAGUUAUAUUUUUAAAAAAAAAUUAUCAAAAUUUAUAAAUUAAAAAAAAUUAUAUAUUAAAUAUUUUUUAAUUUAUAAAUUUUGAUAAUUUUAAAAAAAUUAAUAACUCUUAACUAAUGAUACUAAAAAAUAAUAUUAAUAUAAUUAAUUAAAUAAACAUGUAUUUUAAUAAUUUAUUAUAUUCUUUAUGAAUAAAAGAUCAUGAAUUUAAUUUAUAUUAAAAAAUUAAAAUAUUUUAUUAUAAAAACAAGAAAAUUAAAUAUUUUAAUUUAAAAUUAAAAUUGUGAAUUUAAAAUUAUAAUUUAACCUAAAAAAUAUUUGCCUCACCCAAAAAAGAUCUACUCGCUAUAGGCAAGAUUUUCUAAUCGCUCCGCGAUGGUUCGCUCAAAACAUAUUUGAUUUGGACUUUGUUGAGUCUUCUUCUUUUUUGUUACUAUUAAAAAAUAUUACUUUAUGAAUAUUUAUUGAAAAUGAUUAAAUUAUAUUUUAAUAUUUUAUUUUCUAAAAAAUGAAAAUAUAUUCUCAAACCAAAUAUACUUUUCAAAUCUAAAAAAUUGAAAUAAAAAUAAAGAAUAUUUACUCAAAACAAAUAGUUGCUUAUUUAUUCUCACUACGAAAUUGGAUUCUGUCACCGGACAAAAGUGAUGAAUAUGCAUCCUGUCAUAGGCUUUUCAUUGUGUGUGUUAAUUAAUAGCUUAUAUAAUCAAUCAAUAUGACAUACAAUUAUCGGUAUGGUAGAAUUGUAAUUUUUUUUAUUUUUUGACAGAAGAAUUGUAAUAUAUAUUUGCAAAAGUAUGUAUACUUUUUGCGAGCAAUUGUUAAUGGUGCUAUUGGUUUACGUUAUCCAUGAUUUAUAUUUUAAAAUGGAAAUGAAUAGUGUGCAUAUUAUUUUAUGAACUUAAAAGUAGACGAAUCCGAAAACGUGGCUGAGAACACUGCCAACACACACAAGCAGGCGGCCAAAAAGUUGUGGCCCCAAAUGCCUUGGCGGUUCCCCUGUUUAACUUGUCAGGCGUUUCUUCUUUUAAGCUUUACAAUAUUACAAUUAUAUUUUUAGUAACAUUAUGUUUGAUAAGUAUGAUUAUCAUUAAGAAUUUUAAGGGAAAAAAUUAUUUAAUUUAAAAAAUAAAUUAUAAUUUUCAUUUUUCUAAUUUUUUAAAUUUAUUUUCAUCCUUUAGAUUUUAAUUAUAAUAUUUAGUCUUUUAAUUUUAUAGAUUAAUAAUUUUGAUUCUGCUGAUAUAUUAUUAAAAAUUAAUUUUGAUCAAUUAAGUUAAUUAUAAAUUAAUUAAAACUAUUAAUUAUUAAAAAUUUAAUAAAAAACUAUUAAUUUUAAUUCACUACAAUUGUGUUUUUCCUUUUUUUCUCCGUCUCUUGUAUCUCUUUUGUUAGUCUUUUGUUAAUUUUUUAAUAAUUAAUAAUUUUAUUUAAUUUAUAAUUAAUUUAACAUCUCUAAUAAUCAUAACUAUUAUCAUGAAAUUAAAAUCAUCCAUUUAUAAAAUUAAGAAUCAAAUGUUACAAUUUAAUUUUAAAAAAUUUAAAAAUAAAUGUGAUGAAAAAAUGCGAGAAUGAAUAGUUAUUGUAGAUAAUAUGUUUUUUCCUUCAGAAAAUACAAAACUUCAUCUAAAUUUGCCUAUUUUAUAUUUCUUAAAAUGUUUUUACAAAACUUGUAAACAACAAAUAAAUGUGAUAUUUUUUUAGUCUAUAUAUCUAAGAAUCUUUCUUCACACCUUAAAACGCCUCUUUACACAUUUUUUUUUGUUAAAUAUUUUUUCCGCGUUAUUUUUGGCCAAUUGACGUGAAUUUAUAUAAUAAUGAAAAUCAUCAAAAACAUAUCCCAAUAUUUACUUAGAUUUAUUUAAGAGAUUUAACCUAUGUUUUUCUUUUUUAAGCAUUCAUUCUAUAUUUGGUACUUUAUUUUAUAAUGACAAUGAUGUUUAAACUAAAUAUUUAAUAAUAGUUUAUUUUGUUUUAAUCAUUUAUUUCAUUAAGGGAAGAGAUUAUGAAAAUUUAAAAUUGAAUGGAAAGAUAAAUAAAAUUUGAUCAAUAAUUAUUUUCGUAAGAAUUGAAUUCGGAUAAUAGCUUAAUAAUUAACCCUUAUAACUUCAGCUUAUUAAUAUUUUAUAUUUAUUCACUUGGUUAUCUUAUAAUGAUUUUAAGUUUAAAUUUUAUGUAUGUAGUUACAUUAAAUUAAAUAUUUAGAAUAAAUUACUCGGAAUAAUUUUAUCCAACUCUAGAAAAAUUACUCAUUAUACUAUUAGUGAUCCUAAUAAGUCUUUGUACUGUGUGAGAACAUAUUAUAUUACUGAUAUAUUGUUUUACAAUAUAUUUUAUUUUUUAUUAUUUGUUCUAUUCAUAUUUUUAUAUAUGGAUUUUAUAACUACAAAAAUAGUUAUACAAUAUACGUAAAAACAAUAGUUUGUCUGCUAGAGAGUAACGGACAAAGAAGCAUUUCUCAAUCGAGAAGCUCCUUUUCCUGGUUUUUCUUCUUUAAUGAUUAUAGAAAGAGAGAAUAUAUUGCAAGGAUGAGCAUUUUAGCCUUAGGAGUGCCGACUAAGCAAACUUUUUCUUCUUAAAAAACAGUGCGAAGAAAAAUUCAUAAAAAGUUUAUUUUAAGAAAAGAGAAAUUAUAAUAAUAAAAAAUAAGUUGGUGGUUCAGAAAUGACAAUAUCCAUAUUUAGAGUGAAGAAAGUCAUGGGUGGGGGUGGCUGAGACAAAGUGCACCAUUUCAUCAUUGGUUUAGGAAUGAAUGAUUAGCUUGCCAACAAUUAAUAUUCUAAGCAUAAGUAAUAAAAGGCCAGUAUUCAACAAACGAUAAUCAAGUUUAAUAAUAUAUGUUGAGUUUGUGGACAAAAAAUUGAAUUCAAAAUUUUUAGAGAGAAAAGUGGGAUUACAUUUUGAAUUAACUCUCGAACUAAAAAUCAAUCUUAUAAUCGCUUAAAGGUUAAUUAGAGAGUUGAAAAUCUUAAUUAUGGUAAUUCAAAAACACAAUAAUUAAGUUUAUCAGGUAGCAUUUUUUAAUUUAAAGGAAAUCAUUAUAGAGUAUAUUUUUAGGUUUGUGUGGGGCUUUUGAUAAGACAAGAUUGGAAGAUAUAAUUCUUCUUAACCAUAAAUUAUGGUUAUUAUGAUUUUAAAAAAUGAUCAAAAAUAUAGUUAUUUGGUUAUAAAAAUUUUGGAAGAGAUUUACACAUAUUUUUGAAAAUUAAAGAUUUUAUAUUUUGUUUUAAUAGAAAUUGUUUAACUAUAUUAUAUUUUAUUUUUUAGAAAUCCUUUUUUAAUAAAAAUACCUUUACUACGUAUAUUUUUAAAACUUUAUUAUUCAAAAUUUUAAAAAUAUUUUAUUUAUAUACAGAAAAAUUUAUUAUUUAAAACAAAUUUUAUUAUUUUUGAAACAAGAGAAAAAUUACCAAAAUGUUUUUCUUAACUUGAUAAGAUGUUAACCUUGCCUACGGCGGCAUCUACACCGAUCAACCAUUAAUUUUACCCGCUACAGGAGGUAAAUGUGCGUUUAGUAGGAAUAAAAAUGACCAAGAGUUGCUUAUUUAUAGUAAGCUAAAAAUAACAGAAAAAUAAAAUGCUUAAAGCAUGUGUCUUUCAAGAAAUAACCGCUUUGUCGAGAGCUUGACACGUAUCCCUUGCUUUAUUAUCAAAUCAUAAUUGUUUCUAUUCGUCAAUUCAAUUUACCAAUCUCACUUUACCAGAUAACCCUUUGAACAUACAUCCAUCAAUAAAUACCCUUUCAACAAUCGAAAACAGAUUGUUAAUUCUUCAAAGCUACUCUUAGAUGUCUAUCAACAAAAACCACUUUUCCACUCAAACUAUCUUCAUUUUCUUUACGCUGUCCUGCUUAUAAGGCUUUCCUAUAAAUAAAAAAUAUAUCGAGUCGACUUUCAAUAUUAAAUUUUCUUACUCAACAAAGACCUAAAACAUAUUUAGCACAAACUUUUAUACUUUUGAAAUUAAUCUCAAACCAAAAUUACAUUCUUAAGAAUAAAUUUAAUUGGCCACAAGUUUUGUGGAAGCAACACUUUAAUCACAACGAAGUGGCGGUGCCGUCAACUGUUUCACACUGAAUCAUAGAACGCCACAUAACUACUGACUGACCGACUUCACACUGUAACGUCUCCACGGGAACUGCUAACAUUUUUAUUAGUAUACCCGCAUAACAUGCCAAAUUUCAGUUUUUUCGUAAGUCAAUACGAUUAAUUAAUGAUUCAAGCGUGAAUCGAAUUUGUAACUUUCAUAUUUUUAGCACAACAUUCUAUCUGAAUAGAUUAAUUAUAAUAUAAAAUAAUUAAUAUCAUUAAAUAUAACACUAAAAAUUUUAACGUAUUUAAUAAUUAAUUUGUUAAUAUAUAUAAAUUGUAAAUAAAAAUAAUAAAUUUAAUAAAAAUUUACAUAUGUAAAAAAAUACAAAAUUUAUUUAAUUAUCAAUUGUUGUAAUAAAUAUUUAAAUACAUCAUUCAAUUAAAUAUUAUAUUUAUUUAGUUUUCAAUCAUUGUAAUAAAUAUACAAAUAUAUCAUUCAAUUAAAUAUCAAAUUUGUUUAACUAUUAAUUACUGUAAUAAACAUCUAAAUUCAACAUUCAAUUAAAUAUCAAAUUUGUUUAAUUAUCAAAUUUUGUAAAUAAAUUAAAUGUAUAAAAAAAUUCUAAAAAUUUAUUUUUUUAAAAAAAAUUCAAAACAUAUGAAUUGUCAUUCCGUUUUGAAUUUUUUUUAAUAUGUACCUCUUCUUCUCCAAUGAUGAAAAACAACCGAACUUCACCAUACAUCUGUAAACAACGCACGUAUACCAUCGACGACAACAAACACUCACAAAAAGAUACUAACAGAAGCAAGUUACACUAAAGAAGUGUGGUUUUAUGAAAAAAAAAGCAUUGCAAAAAUAAAGAAGCUAAUCGGCUAUUUAUAACAAAAAAUACCCAAUGGUAUUUUAGAAAAUUACUAGGUGUACCAGUAAAAAUGAUGGGUGCCCCACGUCCCCACGCAUAGGCUAUAGAUUCAAAAAAUGUUCAUCAAAAUUUAAAGUGAUCAUCAUCAACCAUCAAAUAUGUGAAUCAACUCACAUUGAAUUAUUUUAAUUUAACCAAAAUUGUCUUGGAUUCAAAUCCUACAAAGCAACUUAUUCAUCGUUACUUGUUUCACUUUCACUUGUGUGACUAUUGUGGUGUCGACCCAAUUCUUAUUCACUUUUUGAUUGUCAUAAUUUUAAGAACUGUGUUCACUUUUUGAUUUCACAUUUCAUUUUCAUCACCUUUUCCAUGCCACCUUUUUACUGUUAGCACGUUUUAUUAUGCCAUCACACAGUUUGUAUCGUUUUGUCCCUAGCAAAGUGGCAACAUAUGAAUGAGAUUGUUUAAUUUCUUUUUUUGUUUCUUGUAUGUGGGGCUUUUCGCUAAGAUUGAGAAUUACUACCAUCUUUUUGUGUUGAAAAUUCAAAGAGAAGUGAAUUAAUAAAAUGAAGAGUGCACUUGAUCAACCAUCAAAGAAUACCUAAAGCUAAAAUAAUUAAGUGAAUAAUUAACUUACAUUUAUUAUUUUUGUAUAUGUUAAUUAUAUAGAUGGCACUACAUAGAUUUCUUGUCACGAUAUAUAGAAGUGUCUAUGAACUCGGAUUGGGUAGUUAUCAAAUUACAGGGAUUCGAUGAAAAUCGAAUUGGUGCAAAUGGUUUGGGUGAGGUGGGACAGUGCCUCUUCAAGGCAGUCCAUGGUGGUUUCAUGACUAAUGUGAGUGGGUAUGGUCGAAGACAGAGGUUCCGACAGGGAAAAAGGCGAAGGGUGGUGAAACGGAAGGAACGAGACCUGUGGGGAGUAUAAUAAGUGCAAAUAUGGGUGGUGGUGGAUGGCUGGACAGAUAGAAUGUCACGUACAAAGGUGGGGAUCAGUCAUGCUUCCAACAUGUUAGAAGCAAGUUGAACCAAAUUGUUAGGAAUAUAGGACUAACUAACUACACUAACCUAUAUUUGAUAAUUCUUCUCUGUUUCUUAUUUCCUUUCCAUGGUAUAUUUACAGUGAUCAUAUAAUGGAUCAGGUUUGACACUCAUGACCCAUAAUAGAAAAAGAUAACAAUGAUAAUAGAAUUGCAAAUAACAUAAUAGUGGAAACAUGCUAGUUUGUUAUAAUUGUGAUAGUACUAUCGGGCAAGGGAUAUGCUGGUGUCUUCUGCACCCUCUUGGGCCUACUCUCCCUUUAGGCUGUAUUGCAAUCGGAAAAUAUCUAAUUAAAUUCUUUUAUCGUUCAAAACAUUAACUUGGAAUAUAUAAAAGAAUCAUGUAAUUUUUCAUCCAAGAUUAUGAUGUAGUAAAUUGCACCAAAUUUAACUGAUUUGUGUCUAUAUUUAUAUUAUUUUUCGUUAGAGAUAUGUCAUGAAAUUUAUUUUUGAUUUAAUUUAUUAUUAAACGAUGAUGUAAUAUACUAAUGAAAUAUCAAAUUAUUAAUUAUAAAUCACUUAAUAGUAAGGUGACACAUUAACAAAGUGUAAUAUCAUCUACUUUAAAUCACUUAACAGAUUCUUACUAACGAUAAAUAUUAAAAUCGAAUAUAAAAAAUGUAAGAUACUAAAAUAAAAUAAUAAUUUAAAUAGUAAAAUAAAAUGGCCUAAAUUAUUUGAGCAAAAAAUUAAUACCAUGUUGAGAAUAAUCUUUUAUCACUGAUCUGACCUUAAGUUUGUUUAUAGAACCAUCAGGAUUGAGAUUAGUUAUUAAAACCCACCAAUCGCCUUUUUAUGGCUUGGUCUAUCGACAAGUUGCCAAAUUAUUUUCCUCUAUCAUCUUUAACUCAUCCAAUUUCAGCAACUAAAACAUACCUUGUAGGCUCCAAUUUUUAAACCAUUGUUGGGUUCUUUAGUAAAGGAGCUAAAUUGCUUUAAUUUUCCACCAAUUUCCAGACUUUGAGCUCUCAUACAAGUUCUCAUUUUUGCAGCCCACGAAUCAUAAUUUUCUCUUACAAAUAAUGGAGGUGGAAGCAAGGAGUUGCUACUGUUUGUGGUUUUUUUUCUUUCUUUUUUCUGGUUUCGAUAAGUUAUUCUAGCUGAUUUCUCACCCUCAAAUACCCUUAAAGAUCAAGCUCUUAAAUCUGGAUACCAUGUAGGAAAAUAAAAACAAAAGAAGAGAGAAAAAAACAGAACACGAAGCUUCUAUGGUGGAAUGAAAGUGUAUUUUCGUUCUUAAUUUUCCAAACAUACAUACAGUGACUUGUUUUUGGUGAAAAUACAAUAUCACAAGCAAAAAGUGUGACAUUGGCCUAGCAUCCCUCAAAAUAUGGGUUACCAAACUAGUUCACCAACAACAUGUCGAACUUAUUACACAUCACAAAAUAUUAAAACAAGACAUCUAAUAGAUUUUACUUCCAAUAUCUCAAGAAAAAGCUUAAUUCUAACAAGGAAAUACAUAGGAAAGUGCUUGCAAAUACUAAAGGGUUUUUACUAUUUACUAAAGGCUUCAUUGUCUUAAAGAACCUUCAAUCUACAGAGGAUCAAAGCACAAACACUUCCCAUGAUUUUUUUUCCAUUUCCACUAUCCCCCCAUGAAGAGGAAAUUGACUCAAAUAGUGGGGUUGCUCCUGAAUGAUCCAACAGCCUUAGCAGCACUUGCUCUCAAGAUGAAUUGGUGGUAGAAGGCUGCAAUGGCUGCUCCAAUAAACGGUCCAACCCAAAAGAUCCACUGAACAAGCAUAAGAAACAAAAACAUAUCAGCCAAAAGUGCCAUCUAUUUUAUCCUUUGUUACUUUACAUGGCAAAUUAUAAAUUUGAUUAUAGUAUAAAACUUGCAUGUUAUUAAAUUCAGACGACAGAUACUCACUUGGUCAUCCCAAGCCUUCUUUUGGUUGUACAUCACAGCGGCUCCAAAACUCCUAGCAGGGUUAAUACCAGUGCCAGUGACUGGGAUGGUUGCCAAGUGAACCAUGAACACAGCAAAACCAAUUGGAAGUGGAGCCAGAACCUUCAAACGCAUAACAAAACCAUAAUAAGAAACUUGUGGCAGAAUUAAAACAAAAAAUGUAGAUAAGAAGUUAAGCAAAACAUAUGAAUCUAAAUUAAUCAUUAACAUUUUAAAUAGCAGACAUGGUUGCAGUUUUAUUGCAAUCAUUGGUUUUUUUAUCGGCAAUUAUUAGUUGUUAAUUGUUAGUUUUUUGUUAGUGGGAAGAAUCGAAUGCACAACCUUUCUCUCCCUCCCUUCUUCUUUUAUCACCAAACCAACCUUAUAAUUCCUUAUUGCAAUCAUUGUGGCCAAUGCAACUGCAAUUAGAUAUGGUAAUUAAUAGGCCCAUAUUACUCAAGCAUAUGGUAACAACAUUUCACUUCAAUAAAAACCAUCAUGUACUUGGUAAUUUUGAUGAAAGAAAGAGAUAGGUUCACUACUAAGACAUGAAAUAUGCCCACAGGAAAAGGUUACCCACUUUCUUGUAUUGAGGAUAAGACAAUCAAACAAGUAUUAGAAAGAAAGGAAAGACCAGCAUGAAAAGUGGAAAGUUUCAUCUACAUUGCAAGCUGCCUUAUCUAUGCAAUAUUUAAUUGCGGAUGAAGUCUCUAGAUAAAGUAGUGACAAGAAGGAUUUAGAUUCCAAUAUCAAAAGGAAAUCCAAGUGAAAAGAAGGAUGAACCAGUUCACAUUAUUAUGAAAUGAAUAUUAAAAAUAAAGCUUUUAUAACUAUUAUUAUUAUUAAUAAUAAACAUAUAUAUGUUGAAUGUGCCAAAACUUUUUAUGAAAAUGGAAACUGCAUGAUAGCAUAGGCUGUAAACUUUAUCAUUUCAAACAGGAAAAUUAUUGAGUGGCAGCAUGUGCAAGUUCUGGAAAUGGAGUGGAAUUUUUAAAAAUAAUUGUGAAGUUCAAUGAAUUAAAAACAUCCAAUUGAUUGAACUGUGAAUCCAUAUACUGACACUCAUUUCAAGAAACAAGAACCACAACUAAUUAUACAUGAAAACAAAGAAAAUUCAUCAAAGCUUCUUAAUUUCAUUUAGAAGGCAAAGCUAGAUGCUUGAAGUUGAGAUGUCUGAUAAUAGCUAAGUCACUGCCACUCAACUUUUUUAAUUUACCUAUAACCAGUCUAAACUGAUUUAAAGGAACUUAAUCUCCUAUUUAAAACCUGAAAGUCCUGAUAGUGAAUCCAUGCUUGCAUAAAAGCAGGGUAUACGACAAUAUAAUAUGAUAUACAUUUUCCUCUACAGUUAAUGCAACAAUGUAUUUUUUCAAAAGAAGCACAAACAGAACUACAAUGCAAUGAAUGAUUGAAUUCAUACCGGCACAUGAGAAUCUCUAGCAUUCCUCUUUGGGUCAGUUGCAGAGAAGACAGUGUAGACCAAAACGAAGGUUCCAAUAAUCUCAGCACCCAAUCCAACACCUGUGCUGUACCCUUCACUGAGUUCAUUGGCACCACCACCAUACCUGUUGUAGUAUGCCUUUUGGAAUGCCUUAACCAACCCAACUCCACACAUGGCUCCCAAGCAUUGAGCCACCAUGUACAUUAUGGCUCUAAUCAAAGAUACCUUGCGAGCCAAGAAGAGCCCAAAUGUCACUGCUGGGUUUAUGUGACCCCCUACAUUGGAUAGAAAAAUUACAGUUUUCAGAAUAGGAAACCAAAAUUUGCAAACAAAUCAAGCCAUGGAUAUUUGUUUACUUCCAACCAAGAAAAGAAGCACAAAUGCACCAGCUUCCUCAGUUUGGAGGCUUAGAAACUUGAGAGAAAAGGGGAAUUAUUAAACAUGAAAGGCCAGUUAAAUUUGACGAACACCAUUAUAUCAUUUCAUAAGCACUCAAAACCAAACCGAGAAUGCUAAUUGCCUAAAUGGGGGUAUGCUUGAUAUUUCUACAACAAUCUAAGAUUUUAAGAACAGUCUGCGACCAUAAUUUUGGUCAAUUGCAACCACAUUGCCACAUUGGUCAUAUUUGUCUGCAAUUUCCCGCAACAUCAAGGACUGCCACGAAACCAUAACAGCGCGACCGCAAUUUAAAACCUUAAAUUAGAGUUCUAAGAAAGCAACUUUCCCUCUUUGGAUGCUAAGAAAUCAGAAUAUAGAAAGGAAACCAAGCCAAUCCAACAAAAGAGAUUGAAGUCCACGCAAGCAAAUUAAAAGGGUGUCUAUGAGAUUGAAAAGUGAUAACACACCGGAGAUUCCAGCAGUGCAGUAAACAAGGAUGAAGAUCAUGCCACCAAAGGCCCAAGCAAUGCCAAGAAUGCCAACUCCACCACACACAUCACCCCCGGCCUUGACAUCACUCUGGCUCUUGUAACCAAUCACAGUGAGCACUGUGAUGUAAAGGAAAAGUAAUGUGGCAAUGAAUUCAGCAAUCAAAGCCCUGUAGAAGGACCACUGUGUGAGUUCCUCAGCAUCAAUCAAAGGUGCUGGAGGAGGAUCAUGGUAGUCCUUUGCUGAGAAGGAACCACCCUCAACAUCAUGCUUAGCCAUUGCAAUUUGCAACUACCCUUUUGACACUGAUCAAGUAAUGAACCUGAAAGAAAGAAGGGUUUUUUGAUGAGUGUGUUAAUUAGUGUGAGAGGAGAAGGGGUAUAUAUGGGGGUGAUGGAGUGUGGUUAGU